GUGCUUGCUUUGGCAGCACAUUUACUAAAAUUGGAACAAUAUAGAGAAGAUUAGCAUUGCCCCUGGGAAAAUUUGUGAAGUAUUCAAAAUUUAA
rnacentral:snRNA from 1 species